UACGACAACAAAAAGUCUUGGUGCACACAC
rnacentral:piRNA from 1 species